GACGAACGCUGGCGGCGUGCUUAACACAUGCAAGUCGAACGGAAAGGCCCUGCUUUUGUGGGGUGCUCGAGUGGCGAACGGGUGAGUAACACGUGAGUAACCUGCCCUUGACUUUGGGAUAACUUCAGGAAACUGGGGCUAAUACCGGAUAGGAGCUCCUGCUGCAUGGUGGGGGUUGGAAAGUUUCGGCGGUUGGGGAUGGACUCGCGGCUUAUCAGCUGUUGGUGGGGUAGUGGCUUACCAAGGCUUUGACGGGUAGCCGGCCUGAGAGGGUGACCGGCCACAGUGGGACUGAGAUACGGCCCAGACUCCUACGGGAGGCAGCAGUGGGGAAUAUUGCACAAUGGGCGGAAGCCUGAUGCAGCAACGCCGCGUGCGGGAUGACGGCCUUCGGGUUGUAAACCGCUUUCGCCUGUGACGAAGCGUGAGUGACGGUAAUGGGUAAAGAAGCACCGGCUAACUACGUG
rnacentral:rRNA from 1 species